GCGAUGGCGGCAGAGGCUUCGAAGACUGGGCCUUCCCGGUCUUCCUACCAGCGGAUGGGGAGGAAGAGUCAGCCCUGGGGUGCCGCUGAAAUCCAGUGCACCAGGUGUGGAAGGAGGGUAUCCAGAGCAUCCGGGCACCAUUGUGAACUUCAAUGUGGACAUGCUUUUUGUGAACUAUGCUUGUUAAUGACUGAAGAAUGCACCACAAUUAUAUGCCCUGAUUGUGAGGUUGCUACAGCUGUAAAUACUAGACAACGCUACUACCCAAUGGCUGGAUAUGUUAAAGAAGACUCCGUAAUGGAAAAACUGCAGCCUAAGACGAUAAAGAAUUGUUCUCAGGACUUUAAGAAGACUGCUGAUCAGCUAACUACUGGUUUAGAACAUUCAGCCUCCACACACAGGACUGUUUUGAACUCAUCAGCUGUAAUGUUGGACACUGAUACUGCAGAAGAAAUUGAUGAAGCAUUGAAUACAGCACACCAUAAUUUUGAACAAUUAAGCAUUGCUGGAAAAGCACUUGAACACAUGCAGAAGCAAACGAUAGAGGAGAGAGAAAGAGUUAUAGAAGUUGUGGAGAAACAGUUUGACCAACUUUUGGCUUUUUUUGAUUCCAGGAAAAAGAACCUGUGUGAAGAAUUUGCAAGAACUACUGAUGAUUAUCUAUCAAAUUUAAUAGAGGCUAAAAGCUACAUUGAAGAGAAAAAAAAUAAUUUGAAUGCAGCUAUGAACAUAGCAAGAGCAUUACAAUUAUCACCUUCUCUAAGAACAUACUGUGACCUGAAUCAGAUUAUCCGGACUUUGCAGUUAACUUCAGAUAGUGAAUUAGCACAAGUUAGUUCUCCACAACUAAGGAACCCUCCCAGGUUGAGUGUGAAUUGCAGUGAGAUCAUCUGUAUGUUCAACAAUAUGGGAAAGAUUGAAUUUGGGGACUCAACAAAAUGUUAUCCCCAAGAAAAUGAAAUUAGACAGAAUGUUCAAAAGAAAUAUAAUAACAAAAAGGGACUUUCUUGUUACGAUACAUACCCACGACUAGAAAAGAAAAAGGUUGACAUGUCUGUCCUAACCAAUGAAGCACCACCACCUCCUUUGCAACCUGAGACAAAUGAUAUACAUUUAGAAGCAAAAAACUUCCAGCCACAGAAAGACGUUGCAACAGCAUCCCCUAAAACCAUUGCUGUGUUACCUCAGAUGGGAUCUAGCCCUGAUGUGAUAAUUGAAGAAAUUAUUGAAGACAACAUGGAAACAUGCGGCACAGAUGAUCUUGGGGAGACACCUAGAUAUCCAAAAAAGCCUCUUCAGAAAAACUCAUCUGUUCCUUUUGGAUCAAAAGCAGGUACUGUAACAACUGUCUGAGCUUGAUGUAGUGGAGUUUACUGUAUGUGUAGUUCUGCAGAGCUAGUUUUUGUAAGCCAUGUAAUAGAUCCUUGCCAUUUCUACAUUCGGAAGUAUUCACAAAUAAAAGACGCCAAAGUACUGGAGAAGAAGGUGAA
rnacentral:sRNA from 1 species